GGUCAGGGCCGCGGGCUAACGACGUAAUGGCUGAAGUCCCACAAGAUUAUGUUUCUGACCCAGAUGAGGUUGAGAAACGACUGUUUAAAGGACGUAAAGCACCUAAAUUGCGUAAGUUGCGUGAAGAUGCUAAGCCAGACUCCACGGCAGUGGAAGGCUUUGAACUACCCUCAGAUACUGACCAAGAGCCACAACUGAAGACCAAGGAAGAUAGCUUCGAAGAGGGGAAGCCAGGGAAUGCAGAGAAUGUACUGUUACAGCUCACCGGGAUGCCCGAGAAAGAAAUUCCCAAGCUAGAUUCACCUAUCCAAACUAACCCAGAAGUUCCACCAGUGCUGAAGUUAGGGACACCGGGGGAGCAGGGAGAAGAGGAUUUGGAGGUCUCUGUGGAUGAAAAGCAUGAGGAACCAGACCGACAGCCUCCAGAGAAGGCUAACCCAGAUGUUUCCAUGGGUGUACUCAUAAAACCAGCUACGGGAACAGAUGAACAGCUACCAACAGAAACCAAGUCUGAAGUUCCAGGGGCAUCAAGCAGUGAGACAAGAUUAGAGGUACUAGAAGAGACUACGGGAAAGAUUCCAGGGCAGCCUCUUAGGGAACAACAUGAAGAAAUAGGUCUGGAGCAGACCACACCAGGUUUUCCAAGUGAAAAACCAAGAAAAGUAGUUGAGACAAAUCUGCUUCAACAGAAAAUGACCACAUCGGUGAUUACAGAGGAGAUAGAAAAAGAUUCAACUGAAGAAAAAAGUACAGAACAGCCAUCUAAGAUGACUAAACCAGAGUUUCCAAACCAGAAGCCAAGAAAGUCUAUUGAAGAAGCAGUUCUCAAGCCUCCAGAAAGGACUAAAUCAGAGAUUCUAGAGGAGAUGCGGUUAAAGUCAACUAGGGAGACAGGGGCAGAGCCACCUGAGCAGAUUAAGUCAGAGUUCCCAGACAAGAAAGCAAGAGAGUCAACUGAGGAGAAAGCUCCAGAGCCGCUAGAAGAGAUCAAACCAGGGCUUCCUGAGGAAGAAUCAAAAAAACCAGUUGACAGAACAAGUCUAGAGCGAUCAGAACAAACUACAUCAGAAGUUCCACAGGACACACACAAAAAAUCGUUUGAGGAAAAGGUUCCAGAAAUACAAGAAGAGACUGAUCUAGGACUACUACAAGAGAUCAAACCAGAUGUUCAAGAGGAAACACAAAGAAAGUCAAUAGAGGAGAAAGUUCAAGAACCAUCAGAGGACAGCAAGCCAACAGAUCAAAAAGAAAAGCAGAGAAAAACAAGUGAGAAGUUUAAAUUGGAGGAAACAGGAAAUUCAACUAAAGAGAAAGGUCUAGAGCUACAAGAACUGAUUAAAUCAGAGUUUCCUAAGAAGGAACUAAGAAAAACAACUAAUGAAACAGGUCAAGUGCCACCACAGAUGACCAAAUCAGAAGUACAAGAGAAGUCACAGACACAACCAACUGAGAAGAGAAAUCUAGAGUCAUCAGAUGAACCCAAACCAACAGAGAGACAUACUGAACUUUCCAAGGAAGACAGGCCAGAACCAAGCAAACUUAAGUACCCUGUACGCAAGGAUGAACAAGUACACCCUGACUAUCGAGCAAAAAAAUUCUCUGUAAAAGGAACUAACAAAGCUAAAAAGGAAUGUGUAAUAGGAUCUCCCAGAGAAAGUAUAGAAUCAAUUGCUACAGAUUUUGACUCUCAAGAACUCCUGAAAGUGAUUCAGUCCUAUGAUUUUGAUGAAGAAUUUUCAAACUUGCUUAUCUCAGAGCCUCAGGUGGAAUUAGGAGAGUUGAAUAGUGAAAAGAAAGAUGUAGGUUUGUCCCAAGUGUUAGAGAAACUGGAACCUAAAGAUAGAGAAUCCAACACAAGAAAUGUUAACUUAGAAUUUGAGCAUCUUAAAUGGAGCCCAGAGAAAGUUGCUGAGUGGAUUAGCCAGCUAGGCUUCCCCCAAUACAAGGAAUGUUUUAUAGCAAAUUUCAUCAAUGGCCAAAAACUCAUCCAUGUAAACUGCUCAAACCUCCCUCAGAUGGGGAUAACAGAUUUUGAGGACAUGAAGACGAUUUCUCGGCACACUCGGGAACUACUGAGCAUUGAAGAGCCAUCGUUCAGCCGCAGCAUCAGACUUCCCCACAGGGACAAUAUUGGAUUAUUUUUAGAGCAAAAAGGUCACAGUGGAGUAAAAUCUGAUUCCUUGACCUUAUCUGAAUUUGUGGAGGCAGCAGGAUUACAGGCAUAUGGUCCAAAGAUCAUGUCAGAUGAUGAGAAUUAGGUGUGGAUGUACACUGAACCACAGAGAAAUGCCAUUUCACUUAGCUUGAAAGCCAAUGAAAGUACUUUGGGGGAAAGGAGACUUCAUGAUGCAGCUUCCAUAAGGGGUGGGACUUGGAGGUGAUGCAGCUGUUUAGAGGUCACUUCUGCUUCUCUAUGUUGUCCUGCCUGAUGGUCCCUGGCCUAUAUCAAGAUGAGGAUGACUAUAAUUUUGAUACUAAGGUGGAAACUGUGAUAUGUCUUAAUCUAAUUAGAGUGACUCUGAGAAUAAAAAUGAAAACUGAGGGGCUGGAGAAGAUUGCUCAGUGGUUAAGAGUACUUAUUGUGGGUUCAGUUCCCAGCACCCACACAGCAAUUUGAUAACUUCUUCUGGUCUCCACAGAUACCUGCAUGCAUGUGGUGCACAUAAACUGACCCAGGCAAACACUACAUCAAAUGCAAAAAUAAAUUCUUUUUAAAAAAUGAAAAUAGGGACCAUGUCUGUAGUCCCAGCACCUGGGA